UACGUAGGGGGCAAGCGUUGUCCGGGUUUACUGGGCGUAAAGAGCGUGUAGGCGGCCACGCAGGUCCGUUGUGAAAACUGGAGGCUCAACCUCCAGCUGUCGACGGAAACCGUAUGGCUAGAGUCCGGAAGAGGAGAGUGGAAUUCCUGGUGUAGCGGUGAAAUGCGCAGAUAUCAGGAAGAACACCAAUGGCGAAGGCAGCUCUCUGGGACGGUACUGACGCUGAGACGCGAAAGCGUGGGGAGCGAACAGG
rnacentral:rRNA from 1 species